AUGAAGAGUUCUUUGACCGACGCUAGUGGUAUGAGGAGGCUGAGCUACGCUGA
rnacentral:snoRNA from 1 species